UCAGGAAGAUCCUUGGAGAGACAAUUCCCGCUCUCCGCCCACCUCUGCCUUCCAGUCUCCAAGAAAAAGCAGCGCCAAUGGAUCGGCCCCACAGGCCUCAACCAGACGGUCUCCUUCCACCGCUCCAGCUCUGCUGCUCCGAGGUCUCGGGGACAGGGAGGGGACAAUGACUACACCGUGACCCCGCCCAAGAGCUCCCAGCUCUCCGCUUAUCCAGCCCUGGAAGGAGCGCUCCGACAUUCCAACCCCCCGGAGAACUCCUCGGACAGCGACUAUGACCUGCGCUCUGCCCGCAGGGUGUGAUUCCCAAAGGAUUCCCAAAGGAACCGUUCCCGUCUCCCGGCUCAGCUGUAGGGGGAUCCCAGCGUUCCAGGGAGAAAAAGAGGAGUUCUGGGGGUUCUUAAGGUAUUUAUACGGAUUUAGGAGGCCUUUUGGAGAGGGAUCAUCAGGUUUUCCAUGGCUCCAAACCCAUGGAUAAAGGAAAGGGAUUCAAGUCCAGGGAGGGUGGGAAUACUGGGAAGGAAUCCAAGAUAUUUAAUAUCCAA